rnacentral:rRNA from 1 species
CCCUUAGAUGUUCUGGGCUGCACGCGCGCUACACUGAUGCGCUCAACGAGUUUUAACCUUGCCUGGAAAGGUUGGGUAAUCUUUUUAAAACGCAUCGUGAUGGGGAUAGAUUAUUGCAAUUAUUAAUCUUCAACGAGGAAUUCCUAGUAAGCGCGAGUCAUCAGCUCGUGCUGAUUACGUCCCUGCCCUUUGUACACACCGCCCGUCGCUCCUACCGAUUGGAUGAUCCGGUGAGCUAUUCGGACCUUCGCUUCGUCGAUUUUCGGCUUUGUGAGGGAAAGUCUCGCGAACCUUAUCAUCUAGAGGAAGGAGAAGUCGUAACA